rnacentral:tRNA from 1 species
UCUCUUGUAGCUCAGUUGGUAAAGAAUUUACCUGCAGUGCAAGAGACCCAGGUUCGAUCCCUGGGUUGAGAA